rnacentral:lncRNA from 1 species
CUCAGGAUGAGAAGCAAAGAACCACAGGCAGCCUGAUCAUCUUCUGGAACUAUGAGACCUCUCACAAGAAAUGAACAAUCUCAGCAUGCAGGAGUCACUUUCACCUGUCCAUUUUAUUCUGGACAUUCUUUACAGCCUGGCUGAACUGCUAGUGAAGUCAAGGCCUUUUUCUCCUUUCCUGUAGACCAUCUCCACUGAAUGAGGCAGUUG